UCCCAACAAUAUGCUUGAGGCAAACAUUCAUCAAAGUUAGCCAAGCGUUUGAAUAUGCAAAUAAUAAUGUUUACUCGAAACAAACAAUGCAGAAUAGUACGCCUAUUUUUCGGCCUUUCCAGCGGGACUUAACGAUAAACGAAUCUAAUCGAAUUUUAUAACAAUAAAAAUACAGCAAAAUUAUAAGAGUUCUUAUCACAGAAAUGCUAUUUAAGAAAUUAUCACAUAUUUUGAAAGAUGGUCUAGCCAUUGGAUCAGUCUGCCUUUGUGCCUUCUUCUAAUCCUAAACGCUUGAACUUAUCCACACCAGACCGCACCCAACACAACCAGACGAGCAAGUAAAUAUAGCAAUACGAGGGAAUCUAUGAACAAUCAAUUGAUAAUUUAUGUCGUUCAACCAAGAGCAAUCAAAGAUUAAGCAGCGAAGAAAUGAAUGCACAACGAAGUUCAAAUGCUCUUCUAAUAAAAGUUCGAGUCAAAAGCAAAAUAAAGAUAAGUUAAGGAACAAACGUGACGGUAUUUCCCAGACAUUACACAACUUAUAGCCCCAAUACCAAUACAACGAAUAGCAAUUAGCACACAUAAAUAUGUAUGUAAUCGCGAGACAAAUUUCUGACAGCCAUGAAAGUGAAAUUGAAAAUAAAGACCAUAAAUUUA
rnacentral:sRNA from 1 species